AAAGAGAGGGGGGAGACCCGGCGGCGGCGGCGGCUAGGGUUCCCUCUCGGUCGCGCGCGGGGCGACGCGAGAGGGAACAGAGCGAGUCCCACCGCCUCCCUGAACCCCAUUUGCUUCUCUAUUACAAUGCUCGAAUCUAGAAAUAGGAAAAUCGCAAGCUAAGUGAAAACAAUCAUAAAAAAUUGCAGCUGCUGCCCCCGACGAUUGUCCUCCUUCGUUCAUGGUCUCGAUCACCUCCAUAUUAUCCGAGUUAAUAAUUAUGCGAUUACAACCCAUCCUUUGCGCAAGCGAUAGGCCAAAUUUUAACGCCAAAGCUUCAGCCAUCAACACAUCUGCACACCAGUCAAUCUUACCAUUUCCCCCACCGAUGAACCUACCUUUGUCGUCUCUUAAGACAGCCCCGAUCGUACCCCUGAGAAGGUCGUGAUCAAAAGAAGCAUCAACGUUAAGUUUAACAAAUCCCGUCGGGGGAUUAGACCAUCCUUCUCUUUUAAUGGAAGCCUUCGGCGAGGAGGCAUUAACAAAAUUGGCAGCGAGAGCGCGUAUCCCAUGGAUAUCUGUUGUGCAUUCUGAGUAGUUUGAUUGUGUAUCAAUUUGUGCCUUUUCCACCUCAAGUACCAGGCUGAUAUGACAAUCAUGUAAGCCGUGCAUCCGUGCGGUGCGGCCCGCUUUAGGUGCACCUGAAAAAAAAAAAGGCCACAGGUAGUUGGCGCCUCUCUCGUCCCAUCGCCCGCGCCGCGAAGGAAAAGAAGGAAAAUAAGGGAAAAGGAUCCAUCCCCGCUCCGAGUCCGAUCCAUCCGAUCCAACCACCGCCUUCCCAUCCCGGCCGUGCAACGCCACGCAGCAAGGUGUGGAGGUGGAGGUGGAGGUGGAGGUGGAGGAGCAGGGCAGGAGGGAUCCCCACAAAAACAGCAGCACCAGCGGCAGCGAGCCGGGUUAGACAGAGGAGUCACGCGACGAGCGAGCGAGCGAGCGAGAAAAACGAGGCGAGAGCUCCGACCCAGCCAACCCCGAAUCUGAAUGGCCUCCGCCACCCCGGCGGUGCCCGACCCCGCCCUCGGCCUCGGCCUCCGCCACCCCGGCGCUCUCGCCCGCCGCAUCGCCAUGGCGCGCGGCGCCGCCGUCGCGCCGGCGCUUNNNNNNNNNNNNNNNNNNNNNNNNNNNNNNNNNNNNNNNNNNNNNNNNNNNNNNNNNNNNNNNNNNNNNGGCUACUGGAUCUACAGGCUCGCCACCGACGGGUCCAAGCACCCUGCGCGGAGCAAGAAACACUAGACAGCAGCCGCAGGCCCGCAGUGGCUGCCUGGGUGCUUGUAGCUUGUUAGCCGCCUAGGUUUUUGCAUCUCUGCUUUUCGAUCUCCAAGGUUUCCCGUGUAAAGUGAUGGCGUGGCAAAACUCGUGAAAGAAGUGGAGGUAGGAAACCUGUCACUCGGAGUGAUCUGUUCAGAUGUUGGUUUCGAACGUGGCGUGAGCUGGUGCGUGGAAAGGGGCCUUCUAUGGCCAUACAUAGCAUAUGUUUGAGUUGUUGAAAAGGUUUGUCUACUCAUAGAUGAUGUUUCUGUCUAAAAGACCAUUAGCUAGAUAAGUACUCCCAUUUUCAUCUGACGUGGGCUUGUAUAAUCUUUACGAGAGCAUAAUUUUCUUUGCCCCUAACCAUGUAAGGUUGGCAUGGAAGUUUCUACCCUGUCUGAACAAGUUGGUCAUGGCACUGCGACUGCUUGCGCAUGUGCGCACCCCCAUGACAACUAUUCCUCCUGAUCAUGUUUGGAUGUCUGGACAAGAUUGCCCAGCAUAUAAGACUAGUGUACUUCCCUACAAGACAAAGCUCAGGCCCCGAUGGCUUUACAGAAAAUUAUUCUUCAAGAGUUGCUGGGAUAUUAUUAAAGAUGACAUCAUGCUUGUGAUUAAUAGCUUCUUGAACCUCCAUGCGGUGAAGUUGCAAUGGCUCAACUCGGCAAAUAUUGCUCUCAUUCCUAACGACAUCUCCGAGGAAAUCUCUGACUUCAAUUAG
rnacentral:rRNA from 1 species